rnacentral:rRNA from 1 species
GACGAACGCUGGCGGCGUGCUUAACACAUGCAAGUCGAACGGUGAAGCGCCUUCCUUUUUGGUGGGUGUGGAUGAGUGGCGAACGGGUGAGUAACACGUGAGUAACCUGCCCCCUUCUUCUGGAUAACCGCAUGAAAGUAUGGCUAAUACGGGAUAUUCUGGGUCUGUCGCAUGAUGGGUCUGGGAAAGAUAUUGUUUCGGUGGGGGAUGGGCUCGCGGCCUAUCAGCUUGUUGGUGGGGUGAUGGCCUACCAAGGCGGUGACGGGUAGCCGGCCUGAGAGGGUGGACGGUCACACUGGGACUGAGACACGGCCCAGACUCCUACGGGAGGCAGCAGUGGGGAAUAUUGCACAAUGGGCGCAAGCCUGAUGCAGCGACGCCGCGUGAGGGAUGGAGGCCUUCGGGUUGUGAACCUCUUUCGCCAGUGAAGCAGGCCUGCCUCGUUUGUGGGUGGGUUGACGGUAGCUGGAUAAGAAGCGCCGGCUAACUACGUG